UCACUUUCUUUCCAUGUAUUUAUCACCUACUUUCUAUCAGAUAGAAAAAAAGACUUACAAAUUCCAUUGUACGGCGAGUGGCCUCAACAACCAAGUUUGUCAUGUUACCAAUAAUAUAAGCAGUUAGGCCUAGAUUGAAAAGCAUGUAGAAAAUUAUGAACACCAUUUCUAAGGUAUUCACUGCAUGUAGAUCACCAUAUCCAACUGUAGUCAUGGUAGUGAUGGACCAAUAUAGGGCUGAAAUGUAUCUUAUCCAAAGGCUCGUCUCUUUGAAAUUUGGAAUAGCAGAUCCAAUCCAUGUCUUUCCUCCAUGUGGAUAUUUGACGGCUAGAAAGUAGUAUAGGCAUCCAGCACAAUGCGCUAGGAUCAAUGUUACCUGGAAACAUAGGUACAAAAUGGUGGUCUAUUCAUACUAUAUACAUAUCCUCUCGAUUGCAUUUUUAAGGGCUUGUUGCCAGUAAGACUCAUAAUGGGAACCUGAUAAAUUCCCAAUCGUCCCCCGGCAUCCAAUAAACAACUUUGAUGGUCUUAUGCUGAAAUUGAGAUUGUUUUGAUAGCAAGUACUUACAAAUAAAAGCCUGGCACAUCUGACCCAAAAAUAGCUGAAUCUGAUAUCUUUUUCAAUCCUGCAAUGCCAUUUGAAUCUCAGAAUCUUAAUAUGUCAUUCCAACUUCUUUACCAAUUCACUAAGGCCUUAGCCAUGGAUACAUAACUUGAUGACAUGUUUUUGGAUAAAAACUGCACCAGCUCGUCUAAGAAUUUUGUAGUCUACUAGAAGAAUUGUGAUAUUAUUUAGUACGGGUGAAAUGUUAACCUUGUAAAGAAGCUCUUGACGCGGCGAAGACGCCAAAAUCUGAGCAUUCCUAGAACUGAGUAAGAGACACCAGCUUGAUGUCUCCCAGUAAUCAAGAAAGCUACUGUCUCGAAUGGGAUUGUUGAAGCCACAUCCAUUAGAAACCAGGUUGAGAGGUACCUAUUUUCCCAAAAAUUUACAAACGAAAUUUAUCCAAAGUCUAAAUUCUAUAUGCAUGUAAUGUACAGUGAAUUGAUACAUUUCAGAUGACUAGGAAUUCCAUUAACGGGCAGUUUUGAUCCUUUAGAACAACUUGAUGAGUUAAUUAGAUUGCUUUAGGAGGCCCUAAUUCAAAGAACGUUGAUUGAAUCAGGUAAAGAGAGCUGAAAAUUUUAAAAAUCAAUGUAAUAAAAUUUAGGGAAAAUUGCACUAACGGUCCCUAACCUUUCAUUUUUUAAGACUUUAUCCUAAUAUUCAAUUUGUAGUCUUUCAAAAAUAUGCAACAAAGGUCCAAAUGAACAAUUCCCAUCCAUUUGAGCGUUAGCUGACCAAGAAAAGUGAAUUUGGAUUAAUUUUGACUAAAUUAAAAUGGGUAAAAUGAUAUCAUGAUAGUUAUCUUAUUAAAUGGGUGUUUGAGCCCCAUUUUUAUUUAAAUAUGCAUUUUAAAAUAGUAAAUUAAUGAAAAAUGUGUUGUUAAAAAAUAAAGAAAUUUUUUUUAUUUAUGUGUAAUCUUAUUUUAAUAAAGGAUGUAAGGUUGAAAAGAAGAGAAAGAAAAAAUAUAUUUUGAAAAAAAUGGGUACCAAGCGAGCCUAAAUAAAUAAUCAAAAAUUAAAAAAUAGGGAAAAAAAUAAAAAGAAAAUUAAGAAAAGAAAUAAAAAGGGUUGUCUCCUUCAGCCACCCCUUGCUCUCUCUAUGUCUCUCUCUCUCCUUGAAAUUAGCCACCAGUACUACUGUCGUCAGUACCACCUCUAGGAAACCAAUCACACUACUGUCGGUAACAUUUCCUUUGCACACCCACCGCCAAAAAUCCAAUCAUACACCCAUCGUCCUUAUACUGAAUCAGUUUUUACUGGCUGUUGACAAAAUUGAACAAAUUUCUCCAAAACCUCGGGAUCUUUCACCAAUUGUUUAUUGCCCAAAGCUACAAUAAGCUAAGGUAAAAGCCUAGCAUCAGUUGAAGCUAAGAACUUGCCAUUUUAUUCCAUUUCCUUCCCGAAUAAAAUCAACCUCAAAACUAGAACGGUAUUUUCUAUGAUUUCUAGCCUCAAAAUUUUAUCAAUCAACAAAUGAAUUUAUAGAAAUGUUGAGGUAGGGUUUUUGGUUUUGGGUGUUGGUUUGAUGUUAUGGAGGAUUUUACUGUGCAGCUCUUGCUCAAUGGUGGGGUGGGGUUUUUGGUGUAGGUUUGAUGGUUGUGGUGGCGGUUGGUUUUGGGUGGCUUUGACCGAUCGGGAGGAUGUGGUGUCGACUUUGUUGGUUGUUGUGGAAAAGGGGAUAGGGAUGGGAAUGGGGUGUUUGGAGGAGACCAUUUUUUUCUUUCCAUUUUUUGGUUUUUUUAUUUUUUCCUUAUUUUUUGGUUCAUUUAUUUAGCCUCGUUUGAGCCACAUUAUUGUAAAAAUGAGAAUGAAAAAUAUAACUGUUAUUGGCCCCACACAAGAGAUAAAAAGCCAAAUAUAAUGACUUGAUGUGAUGGAUAAUGAUCAUAUUUUUCAUUCUAAUGAAGAAAUAAUAAAACUCAAACAGGGCCUAAAUAUGAUAAUUAUUAAGUUACUAUUCUAGCAUGUUUAAUUUGGUUAAGAUUAAUCAAAAUUCACUUUUGUUGGUCAACUAACGAUCAAAUGGAUGAAAAUCGCCCAUUUAGACCUUUGCUACAUAUUUUUGAAAGAUGUCACUUUGCUAACACAAAUUGAAUGUUAAAAUAAAAUCUACAAAAAGUGAAAAAUUCGGGAUCACUGUUACAAUUUUCCCUGAAAUUUAUUUAAAAGUGAUCUGACAAGACAAUUACAAUUCAAUAAUUAUAUUUAAAGAUAAACUAUUACUAGUAUUAAUUAGUAGAUAAAUAAAAAAAAAUGUGAUGUAGUGACAAAUAAAGUACUUACUAAAUGUGUAAAAGAGAAAAAAAAAAAAAAAAAUUAAGGAGCAUAGGUUUAUGUAUUAGCGCAAAGGGGGGAAAAUGAAGGUUUUAAAAUGUAGUGUGGAAUAAAUGCAAUUGAUUAAACAAAUAAUAACAUUAUUAACAUAAAAUCAACCCAUAAAUAAUAUCAUAAGAUUUAAUUUAAAAGGGUUAAAAUAUUACAAAUUCUCGAUUUUUCAUUUCAUUAUUAUUAUGUGAAAUUACAUUAAAUAUAUUCAAAAAAUAAAUAAAUUAGAAACACAAUAAUUGUUUAAAUAAAUCACACCAUUCAAAGAAAAACAGGAAUUCUACAUUUUUAUUUAUAGCAAUACGAUCAAUGUUUAAAUAAUAUCAUUGUAUAUGUUCGUGUGUAUGUCAAUAUCACUCACCCUUGAUAAAUAUGUAAUGGUUUUCAAAAUAUUAUUCACGAUGCUUUAUCACUUUUUUUGGUAUUAUAUUUUUAUUAAUCUAUUUUAAAAUCAUACAAAUACAAUGAUUUUAUUUUAAUUUUUCAAGCCAACCGUUUAUAAUUUAAACACAAUAAUUAAUCAUUCACCACUCUACAAUCAAAUAUUUGAAAAAGACAAAAACCAGUAACAAAAAAGAUCGCCUCUGGAUUGAAUCUACCAAUUUUUAUUAACUUGUUCAUGGCCUCAUGUAACAACCGUCAUUUUUUUGACGAGGUUUGUACCUAUUAUGGGGGUGUUUGAGAGUCAUUUUUAUGUAAAAAUACAUUUUAAAAUAGUAAAUUGACGGAAAGUGUGUAGUUGAAAAAUAAGAAAAAAUUUUGAUCUACGUAUAAUAUUAUUUUAAUAAAGAAUGUGUGGUUGAAAAGAAUAGAGAGAAAAAUGCAUUUUAAAAAAAAUGGAUACUAUACGAGAACUAUAUGAGCAUUGCACAUUCAAGUUUAUGAAGUUAUAUUUAUUUUGUAACAAAGGCCAAUACUCGAAAAUUUGAAGUAAGGAAUGUUUCUACGAGGACCACAUGACUAUUUGGAUGAUUUUGUCGUUAUGGACGUUAUACAACUAAAAUACAUGGUGGAGGACCAACUCUGUACUCAAAUGAUAGGUUGACAAAUCUUUUGAGAUUAUAAGCUAAUAUGAACUGCAAGGAAAUGUGUGGUCAGAAAUAAAUUUUCAUUAAAUCUGAAAAAAAAAAUAAAAAAAUACCAAACUUAGUCAAUUCACUACGUCACGUCUUUGAGCUCCUGUUUGGUUUUGUUAAAAAAUAGGAUAUAUUCAGCUUUCAUAUCUGCAACCUGAUCAUUUUAGACCGAUAUUACGAGCAAUCAAAAUCUUGCAUGCUAAUUUAGGCAUGAGUUUUUUCUUUCUACUAAAUAUGUAUUGCUUACCAGGAGCAAUAGAAUUUCCCUAGAGACACCCUUGAAUAGAUAAACUUUCUCGACCGUAGGCAUAAACAAAUGCUGCCGGAUACUUUUACAUAGUGUUUUGGGUAGCUGUUCAAUGAGUUGCUGCUGGUUCAAGCUCUCAGCCUUAAAUCUUAGACACAUAUAAGCCAAUAUCUGAUCUUUCAGCCUAGGAGGCAACUGGUUACGGGACACAAAACUCGAUGCAACUUCAAUGCUACUUCUCUACAAGAAAAUAAAACAAUAAACUCACUUUCUUUCCAUGUAUUUAUCACCUACUUUCUAUCAGAUAGAAAAAAAGACUUACAAAUUCCAUUGUACGGCGAGUGGCCUCAACAACCAAGUUUGUCAUGUUACCAAUAAUAUAAGCAGUUAGGCCUAGAUUGAAAAGCAUGUAGAAAAUUAUGAACACCAUUUCUAAGGUAUUCACUGCAUGUAGAUCACCAUAUCCAACUGUAGUCAUGGUAGUGAUGGACCAAUAUAGGGCUGAAAUGUAUCUUAUCCAAAGGCUCGUCUCUUUGAAAUUUGGAAUAGCAGAUCCAAUCCAUGUCUUUCCUCCAUGUGGAUAUU
rnacentral:lncRNA from 1 species